rnacentral:rRNA from 1 species
AGAGUUUGAUCCUGGCUCAGGAUGAACGCUGGCGGCGUGCCUAACACAUGCAAGUCGAGCAGAUGCUCUUGACGGAUCCUUCGGGUGACGGAUAGAGCGGAAAGCGGCGGACGGGUGAGUACGCGUAGGCAACCUGCCCUUCACAGAGGGAUAGCCUCGGGAAACCGGGAUUAAAACCUCUAAUGCCAUAGGAAGACAUCUUCUCUUGGCCAAAGAUUUAUCGGUGAAGGAUGGGCCUGCUCUGAUUAGUUAGUUGGUGAGGUAACGGCUCACCAAGGCGACGAUCAGUAGCCGACCUGAAGGGUGAUCGGCCACAUUGGAACUGAGACACGGUCCAAACUCCUACGGGAGGCAGCAGUGGGAAUAUUGCACAAUGGGGGAAACCCUGAUGCAGCAACGCCGCGUGAAGGAAGAAGGUCUCGGAUCGUAAACUUCUGUCCUUGGGGAAGAAUAACUGACGGUACCCUUGGAGGAAGCCCCGCUAACUACGUGCCAGCAGCCGCGGUAAUACGUAGGGGGCAAGCGUUAUCCGGAAU